AGGGCGAACGCUGGCGGCGUGCCUAACACAUGCAAGUGGAGCGACGAACCAGGCUUCGGCCUGGGGCAGAGCCGCGAACGGGUGAGUAACACGUGGGUAACCUGCCCUGAUGAUUGGGACAACCCGAGGAAACUCGGGCUAAUACCAAAUGUGCCCUCCGGCCUCAAGGCCUGUGGGGAAAGGAAGCUUCGGCCUCCGCAUCGGGAUGGGCCCGCGGCCCAUUAGCUUGUUGGUGAGGUAAUGGCUCACCAAGGCUACGAUGGGUAGCUGGUCUGAGAGGACGAUCAGCCACACUGGGACUGAGACACGGCCCAGACUCCUACGGGAGGCAGCAGUGGGGAAUCUUGCGCAAUGCGCGAAAGCGUGACGCAGCAACGCCGCGUGGGGGAAGAAGGCCUUCGGGUUGUAAACCCUUUCAGUUGGGACGAAGCUUCGCCGGUGAACAGCCGGCUGGAGUGACGGUACCUUCAGAAGAAGCCCGGCUAACUACGCGCCAGCAGCCG
rnacentral:rRNA from 1 species